rnacentral:rRNA from 1 species
CCUACGGGGUGCAGCAGUGAGGAAUAUUGGUCAAUGGACGAGAGUCUGAACCAGCCAAGUAGCGUGAAGGAUGACUGCCCUAUGGGUUGUAAACUUCUUUUAUAUGGGAAUAAAAUGUUCCACGUGUGGGAUUUUGUAUGUACCAUAUGAAUAAGGAUAGGCUAACUCCGUGCCAGCAGCCGCGGUAAUACGGAGGAUCCGAGCGUUAUCCGGAUUUAUUGGGUUUAAAGGGAGCGUAGGUGGAUUGUUAAGUCAGUUGUGAAAGUUUGCGGCUCAACCGUAAAAUUGCAGUUGAAACUGGCAGUCUUGAGUACAGUAGAGGUGGGCGGAAUUCGUGGUGUAGCGGUGAAAUGCUUAGAUAUCACGAAGAACUCCGAUUGCGAAGGCAGUUCACUGGACUGCAACUGACACUGAGGCUCGAAAGUGUGGGUAUCAAACAGGAUUAGAUACCCUAGUAGUC